UCCCGCUGAGCCCGAGAUCCCUGGAAUGUGUAAGCAGUCCUGCCUAAUUUCCCGCUGAGCCCCAGAUCCCUGGCAGGUGUAAGCAGUCCUGCCUAAUUUCCUGCUGAGCCCCAGAUCCCUGGCAUGUGUAAGCAGUCCUGCCUAAUUUCCCGUUGAGCCCCAGAUCCCUGGCAUGUGUAAGCAGUCCUGCCUAAUUUCCCGCUGAGCCCCAGAUCUCUGGCAUGUGUAAGCAGUCCUGCCUAAUUUCCUGCUGAGCCCCAGAUCCCUGGCAUGUGUAAGCAGUCCUGCCUAAUUUCCCGUUGAGCCCCAGAUCCCUGGCAUGUGUAAGCAGUCCUGCCUAAUUUCCCGCUGAGCCCCAGAUCUCUGGCAUGUGUAAGCAGUCCCGCCUAAUUUGCAAC